GAACGCAUAUUGCGCCCUCUGGUAUUCCGGAGGGCAUGCCUGUCCGAGCGUCAUUACUACCUUCAAGCACGGCUUGGUUGUUGAGCCAAUUGUUCUUUGAUGGACAGGCUUGAAAUACAGUGGCAAUGCCAGAGUCCUGGUGCCCGAGCGUAUGGAGCUCUGUCACACGCUUUAGUGUCCCAGCCGGCAUUUUGUCGAUUAACCCCUUUUUAAAACCUAAGAUUUAACCUCGGAUCAGGUAAGGAUACCCGCUGAACUUAAG
rnacentral:misc_RNA from 1 species